UAAGGGAUCAAAGUGAGAUUUGAACAGGUUUUGUAUCCUUCUCGAGUGAUUUGUGAUGCGUUGGAAUGAAGUUCGGAGAUAAACAAGUGUUUCGGCGCAAAUUGGGCGCGAAACGAAAUGUAAAGAGAUUUUUGGAUUUCCGACGCUAACUUUGAAGAAUUAAAGUAAGGCGUAAGGAUAAAUUGUGGUAUCUCCGAAUCAAUUGUGAAGUUUCGGAAAAGCCAAGGUUGUGUUUUCAAAAGGUUUUGAAGUGUUCAGUGCGAAGUGGUAGUGCAAAAAGGGAGAAAGUGCAAUAUGAGCUGAUUCUAUUGCUAAUUUGGCUCCAAUAAUGUCAAAAUGCAAAGGAAUUGCUUCCAAACUAAAUUGGUAGCUUGUGAAGGUCCCUUGGUAUAUUUUGGACAUAUUUGGGUGAAAUCGGAGCGAAAACGAAAAAUUUAGAAUUUUCUGUAAAGAACGGGACUGAGAAAAUUAGCAGAAAAUGCACAGUGUCAGAAAAUUAUGAAAAUUGGCAGAGAUGUCAGGAACAUUUUUAUGAGGCUAGAUUUGAAGUUUCAGAUUUUUCUGACACCUGUAGAGAGAGAAAUAGCAUUUGGAAGUUAUCUGAUAAAGAUUACAGUUCGGGACAGUUCGCAGUGACCAAACGGGGUCGAAACUGAAAUAUUAAAAUUUCAGUGAACUUGUUAAGUAAAAACGAACAUUCCUGUCAAAUUUGAGCUCAAUCGGACUUUCAGAAGAGCUUACGAAGGGUAUCUGAUCCAAGGUCGCUAAACGGA
rnacentral:lncRNA from 1 species